rnacentral:rRNA from 1 species
GGCUCAGAUUGAACGCUGGCGGCAGGCCUAACACAUGCAAGUCGAGCGAGAAAGCCUUCGGGUGAGUACAGCGGCGGACGGGUGAGUAACGCGUAGGAAUCUACCUGGUAGUGGGGGACAACAUGGGGAAACCCAUGCUAAUACCGCAUACGCCCUAUGGGGGAAAGCGGGGGACCUUCGGGCCUCGCGCUAUCAGAUGAGCCUGCGUAGGAUUAGCUUGUUGGUGAGGUAAAGGCUCACCAAGGCGACGAUCCUUAGCUGGUCUGAGAGGAUGAUCAGCCACACUGGAACUGAGACACGGUCCAGACUCCUACGGGAGGCAGCAGUGGGGAAUAUUGCGCAAUGGGCGAAAGCCUGACGCAGCCAUGCCGCGUGUGUGAAGAAGGCCUUCGGGUUGUAAAGCACUUUCAAUUGGGAAGAAAGGUUGGUAGUUAAUAACUGCCAGCUGUGACGUUACCUUUAGAAGAAGCACCGGCUAACUCCGUG